UACGAAGGGUGCAAGCGUUGCUCGGAAUUAUUGGGCGUAAAGGGGAGGUAGGUGGUCUCGUUUGUCUGGGGUGAAAACCCUAAGCUUAACUUAGGAAGUGCCUCGGAAACGGCGAGACUAGAGUACUGGAGAGGGUAGCGGAAUUCCCGGUGUAGCGGUGAAAUGCGUAGAGAUCGGGAGGAACACCAGAGGCGAAGGCGGCUACCUGGACAGUCACUGACACUCAACUCCGAAAGCGUGGGGAUCAAACAGG
rnacentral:rRNA from 1 species